rnacentral:rRNA from 1 species
AUGAAUAUCUUAGCCUGGAACUGUCGGGGAUUGGGGUUGGACUCGACAGUUGGAGAGCUCAGGGACCUAGUAAGGUCAUACAACCCAGCGGUGGUGUUUUUGAGUGAAACAAAAAAGACAGCUAGAGCUUUGGAGAAACUUAAGUGGAGUUUGGGGUUUCGAGAGGGGGUGGCCGUUGAUUGCAAAGGGAAAAGUGGUGGUAUUGCUCUAUGGUGGCGUGAC